CUGUGGCACAUCUGGGGUCCACUAGAACGUGAAAACCAUGUGUCCUGGGCUGAGCUCAGCCUCUGCCAUCUCCAUGAUCCAGGUUCCACUCUAUCUAUGGCUUCUUCUCAGUAAUAUCUACCUCCUCUUACUUUACACCUUAGCACAGGGGUUCUCAACCUGUGGGUCAUGACCUCUUUGGUGGGGGGGUCUCAUGACCCUUUCACAGGGGUCUCAUAUCAGCAGCCCUCCAUAUCAGAUAUUGACAUUUUGAUUCAUAACACUAGCAAAAUUACAGUUAUGAAGUAGCAACUCAAAUAAUUUUACGGUUGGAAGUCACCAUACCGCGAGGAACUGUAUUAAAAGUCCCUGAAGCAGCAGGAUGAAGGUUGAGAACCACACUGCUUUAGCAGGAUUACUAAAGCAGUCUCCUAGUGAGGGCCUGUGAUUUCCUAACCCACCCACCUUGCCGCCUGCUCACUCAAACAAGCAUCCUUUGAGCUGACACCCAAGGGUGUCACAGUCAACCUCUUCUUGUAGUCUUUCUCCAACCAGUGACACCAGACUCUCAAGUCAGCUCACCUUCUUCUACCCCAAGCUUCUGUCUGGGACCUGUUCACUUUCACUGCCUACAUCUCUCACUCUUGUGUGCCCACCUCGGCAUCCUCCCUCCAUCUUUCUGCCCCACGAUGUCAUUCUAAAAGUUUUAGUCCCACUGACGCCUCCUGCAUCACGUGCUAUUCCUAGAAGCCAAUGCCCCACUAAUUGCCACCCGUCUUUUAAAUCAGUCCUGGACACACUACCUGUCUGCAGCAACAUACUUGCCAGAGCCAGGUACUGCAGUCCUAACACUUGGGAGGAGGGUCUGGAAGAUUAAGAGUUUGGGGCCAGUCUGAGCUACCCUGUGAGGUCUAGUCCUGCAUGGGCUGCAAGGUGAGAGCCAUCUCCAAAAAAAAAAGGUUGUUGGACUGAAUAAUUUGUGUUUUUACCAUCAAGGUUUUUGUUUUUGUUUUGUUUUUUCACAAUUGAAGUAUACAUUUGAAACGUGGAUUAAGUUCCAAAUUCAAUGUGCAAAGCAAGAUUCCCAUGCAAUCAACACUCCACAAAGUUUAUGACAGCUCAGCUGGGGUCUUUCCCAAAGGAUAGGCCUAACUGAUGCUUUCUGCAACUUCAGAACCGAUGCCUGUUUCUGAGCAGCAGCAGGAAAGAAAGGCAGCCCCCCACAUGGAGGGACCAUGUUUUAUUCAAAUGUGCUGCUAGAUUCUUAAUUUUUUAUUAUUGAUCUUUUUGCCAAGUAUGAGUGAUCAUGUUCACACAAGUUAAGUGCAGACAUUAAGUACUUUUUUUUUUUUGAAAAAAAAAAAAAUGAUUACCAGGAAAGACUUCUAAUGGACCUAGCUAGGUCCCUCUAACCUCCUGAUUUUCCACAUCCAGUUUCUUGUUCUAUCUAGGGAGCUCCUGGAGAUCUUUUGUUACCGUGCCAACAGAGGAGGGCCCUUUCAGGAGCACCGAUGUGUGGCGGCGAGCCAGCUGAGCCAGCCGGCUUAGAAAAAAAUUAACUGGAGCAUGGGGGUGUUGACUGGGUCUUUCUCUCAAAGGGCAAAGACCUUGCCUCAGGCCUGAGCCUUAGCCACAUCCUGGGACAUGCUUCCAUGACAAGGUUCCGAUCCUGUGACCAACUUGGGGUAGGAAUGGAAGUCAGGAAAGGAAUAAGCCCUGGAGUGUUGGAGCAAAACCAAGAUCUUAGGCCAGGGUUUCAGGGGUGGGGAAGGGGGAAGUGACAGAAAAGAAGGUGGGGUCAGUGAAAGCCAGGCCUAGAGGGCAGGCCCAGUCUUCACUCCUAGUAGUCUCGAGGAAGUUCUAGCUUUAGAAAGGAAUUUGGACUAUUUACAUUUUUGAGGAUAAAUCCUUCUUGCUAGUGAAUGGCCAUUACUAUUUGCCAAUCUGAUAUCUGAAAAACUGAAUCUUCUGGCUUUAGCACACGUUUUUCUUAUUGAGAUUUUAUUUCUAUGUCACUGAAUAUCCUUAAAGUCGAAGAGAAAUGAAAACUGAAGAGAUAUUUGCAUGGCAUAGCUGGUGAAUCUAAUUUUGUUCGCAGCUUGCCAGAAGUGGCUUAAAUUCUUUUUACCGUCCUUGCUGUGGAAAUCUGAAACAUGGAUUCAGGGUGUGUGUCUCAAAAACUGUGGCCGUCUGUAAAGGAUGUCUAUACCACACUUUUGACAUUUUGUUGUUCUGCAUAGAGGGUUUAUCGGGCAGCCCAAAACCAAUUGGGAGAGCGAGUGGAGCAGCGAGGUUGAAAGAUCCUCCAUCACCCUGAGCAAUAGAAACUGCAGGCUUUAGUUGAAAGACAGAGGUGCCAAAGUGAGGAAACAGACAGGAAGCCUCAGGGGUUAGUCGCUUUCCACAGGGCACAGUGGGAAGUGAACUUUCCCCUUAUCUCUUCUAAAUCUAGAUAGGCUCAACAACUGUUAGGGGCAGAUGAAUGGAAGGAUAAGAGAUGUUCACACCAAUUCCUGGAGUAGGGAGGGAGAGGAACCAGGAGAAGGGGAAGAAAGGGGGAGGGGAGGAGGGCGAGGGGAAGCACAGAGCAGCGGACCUUAGAAGAAUCGCUCAAGGUCACACCGCGGGAUGGAGCUGAAAGCCGAAUUCAAAUCCAAGCCCGGGACUGCAGGACUGAAAGUUCUAGAUAGAGCCACACAAACGUGCUCUCUUCUCUCUUCUUGACUCAGCAGCUCUCGCUUGGCCACGGGGCGGUGGGAAUCACACUUCCUGGGCCUUUCUAGCCGGGAGUUUGGGGUCCCUUGUUUUUCCUGGACUUAUUUGCCGCACUCCGGGCUUUGGCUUCCUCCUCCCUGCUUCCCAGAGCAGAAUCCGGAGCCACCUAUUCUCUCCAAGUUUGUCUCGCAGCCAGGCUGGGAACCGUGCGCGAGCGACUCCCGGACCCGGCAAUCAGUCUUCCCUGCCCCAGCGUCGGAGACGAACAAUCACCACCAGCGGCUGCUGAGUGCUAGACGCUUUACUCCCACAGCUCCAAAAGCCACAGACGAGCAGACCCCCAGAAAUUAGUCCUCGCCACUCAGAUGAGGCAGCUCUGCGAAAUUGGAUGAUGUGCUUGGACUCACAAGGCUAAUAACGCUAGGAGAGCAGCGGUUUCAAACCUACAGUACCAGAGGCUGACCUCAACGCAACGCCCGAGGCUGGGCGCAAACCAACCAGUUCGGAAUGCCAUAAUUCACAGAGACAUUCCCACGGACCGGAACCAGAGAGUCCCCCAAGAGCACCGAGUGUGACCGGUACUGGCGGACGAUCACCCCUUAGCAGGAGCUGGAGAACACUUACCAUAAAAGAGAGGGCGAGCGCCUGCCUGGGAGGAAUCCCCAGCGCUGGCAGGUCCGGGACUCCCGGGAGAGAGGUCUGCUGCCACUGCCGCCCACGCAGGGGCGCCCGAGCGACCCCGCGGAUGCUGGCUGCUGCUUCUCAACCAGCGGCGCGUCCUCUCGACUUGUAUCCGGCGGCAGCGCCCUCUCGCUCCGCAGGGUGCCCUGGAGUUAGGGACGUUCUUGGAGAAGUUGACGCUCGGGAGAGGCCGCCGAGGUCCGGUCCCGAGUAGUGAAGUGCCCCACUGCGCUGAUCUCAGCGAGAUGCGGAAGCCCUUGCCCUGAUGGCCCUAAAGCUUGGCGCCUGACCUGGAGAGCGACGAGUCCCGCGCUCAGGGCACACGGGCCGCACCUCGGCCGCCCGUCCCCGGAGCACCGGGUUUCUUCCCUAGAGCACUGAGCACACGCCGCGAGGGCUGCAGUGGUGGCCAGGGCCCGGGCAGCUGUGCGCUCAUUGCCUUCCCCAGGGGCUGAGCGCCUUUGUGCGCCGGGCGCGCCGACCGCCAGGGCCAGCUCUGGAUGCUGCAGCCGCCGCCUCCCCCUCCUCCUCCACGGCCGCUCGCUCCCCGCCUUCCCGGCCGGCCCGGAGGCUGCAGCUGAAAGCCGAUCCGGCUGAGCUCAUCCCUGAAGGCCACUAAUCCAAUAGCCGCGGAAGGCGCGGCCGCCGGGAACGCCCCUUCCCCCACCAUCCCGCGCCCCGGCCGUCCCAGCUCGGGCCGCUGCCGGCUCUGCCACCUUCUGGAGGCCACCAGCUGGCGGGAAAGGGAAGUGGAACCCUCGCCCGCGCCCCUGGGCCGAAGUGGCGCGGACGCCAUUCACUCAUCUGCGGACUGGCUAGCCUAGACACUCGCUCACACACGCGCUCAUUCAUGCGCAUGGGUCCUCCCCCAUUCAUUCAAGCGUGCCUAGAGAGCCACGGUGGGUGUCCCUAGGGGCGGGGAUGAAGAGAGGAGACAUCACGGUCGCCAGAUAGCUUUGGAGCCUGUAUUGAAGGCCUGCGGGAAACAACGACUGGGAAAGAGAAUGCUUUAAUAUACCCCCUUGCCUUAGGCACACACAUGUCCACACUUUAUUUCUGAGGCCAGACUCCAACUCAUCUUUCAGAAUCCAAUUUCACGCAGCACCUGCUCCAUGGUGCUUUUCCCCUGACCACCUGAGGCCCGAGAGAAGGAUCAUCGAUCAGAGGGCUACCGAGAGCGCUGAAGGAUGGCGGCUCCCUCGGUAACCAGAGCGCAGAGAUAAGAGGGCGUGGCCAGAGCGAGGGAUGCUCUGUACCUCCAAGUUGGCUUCCUUCCAGGCCAGGGCAUCCUGCUUUCCAUGCCAGAGUUGACAUUAGGUCCAUUCCAUAGUCUUAACUGACCUCACCCCUCAGAAAGUGUCCUUUUUUUUCCCCCCAUGUACACAGAAGAUAAGCACCUGUAAUUCAGCCCUGUGAGGGAAAUGUGUUGACCAAGGCUCCAGGGUACCUCUCCCAGACUGGGGAGGGCAAUUUGAGAAUGUUUCCUUGUGGAAGUGUCUGCAUGAAUGAGCUGCUAGAUGCAGAGACAUCAUAGUCUCAUGGUAGGUACCUGUAACAGCCUGUGGUAUGACUGGAGCCAAAACAGGAGGUAAGAUGAAACGAGAGUAGGUACUUAGGGUCUUGGAGAGCAUCCAAAGGGCUUGGCUUUUCCCCAAGAUCAGUUUGGCAGGCCUCUUGACCUUCACAGAUUUGCUGUCCAGAAAGAUAAUCCAGUGGCAGGAUGGAUAGAUGGAUGAAUAGCACUGGCCAGCUUGGAAGCUGCUUCAGAGAUCCAGGCAGUCAAUGAUGCUUUGUCGAUUAGGACAGCUCAGUGGUGUGGCAGAGGGGUAUUCUGAGCAAGUAUUUGUGGCGCUCUUGGUUUUAUUUGGGCUGCUUCAUCUAUAUCUGCAUGUCUGUCUCUCCGUACCUGUGUGUCUCUGCUCUUGGGACUGCACAGAAGAGCUGCUGAAGGGAAUGUGACCCAUGCACACAUUUCCUUGUCCCCCCGAGUCCCCUCCCUCCCCAGGACAUUUCUGGAGUACGUGCUCUGACCACGGCUGUGGUGCUAACAGAGCUGGACAUCGUGAAAUGAGAACCGAGGAAAACUCAGCAAACAGGAACUUAAGCAAGACUUUUCAAGGACUGGAGAGAUGACUCAGACGGUUAAACCAGGCAGUGGGUGGUGCACGCCUUUAACCCCAGCAUUCACUAGGCAGAGGCAGUCAGAUCUUUUAGUUCAAGGCCAGCCUAGUCUACAGAAUGAGUUCCAGGACAGCUAUGGCUACCUAGAGAAACCCUGUGUCAAACAAACAAACAAACAAACAAACAAACAAACAAACAAAGUACUUGCUGCUCUUGCAGAGGACCAGGGUUCAGUUCCCAGCACUCACAUGGUGGGUCACAGCUGUCCAGAAUAUCAGUUCCAGGGCAUCAGAUGCCUUCCUCUGACUUCCAUCAGCACCAGGCAUGUAAAUAACACACAUACAUUCACACAGGCAAAGUACUCAUACACUUAAAAUAAACCCUGAAAAAAAAAUACCAUCCCCGGCUGAUGGUUUUUCUACCUGGACCCCAAUACAACUGCCAACACUCAUUUCUUCCUUCUUUCUGGAAGACUUCACAAUAGCUCUAGAACAAGGUGAGGAAGGGUCAAGGGUCACAUUUUGAGAAACUGCUCCCCCAAAUACAUACCUGUGUGCCAGAUAAGUUCUCUACACAAGCCUUUGUGACUUGCCUUGGGUAUCAAGAAAUGGGCACAAUGGCACCCCCAAAUAUCACUAAAGUUCCCCCAAAUCUUCCACCCCCUGAAUAGCAUAGGUAUGGUGUGUCCCCAAGUUUGAAAUGUGAACAAGUAUCUGUUCAUUCCACAUAGGGUAUCUAUGGUGGAAAUAAUUCCACCCAAGCCUAUUUUGGUGAUCCAUUAGUGUUACUUAUAGAAGCACGGGAGGCACAGAGAUAUCACUAAAAAGCCCAUCCCGGGAUGGAGAGCAAGUGGAGCUCUGUGCACAGCUAGCGAUCAGAAGAGCCUGCAUGCUCCAGCUUUUACAAGCUCGAGAAGGAGCCUUGUGAAUCUUGUAACUUUCAUGAGCUUUCCGAGCCUUCUAAGUUUUAUUAGCUUCCUGAGUUUUAGUUUAAAAAAAAAGAAGAAAAAGAAAAAGUCUUAGUAAACCUCUCUGAGAGAAUGUUUCAAUUCAGAGGAAACAACCGCACAAGAAGAAGGAACAAUUGCCAUUUGAGGAAUGGCCUGGAUCACCUGACCAAAUGUUCUUUAAACUGAAGCUCGAAGCCUAUAAACUGGCCUCUGAUAAUCUUUGACCCUGGAUUGCCACAUUCUGUCUCCCUUCCUCGGAAAUGCAGGCUAGACUGCCUUGCUUUUCACAAAUAGAACACAGUAAGACAGACAUGCUGUCUUUCCCUCCUGGGAUUGGAUAAGGAAAAGGCUCCAGGCUCUGGGCACACAUCAUCUCUCUUGCUCUUUUGCCUUUUGCCCCCCACAAAGGAAGUCAGGUAUUGUGUGGGGAAACUUGGUGAAGGAUUGAGGCCUGCAGCCAUGGAACUGAGCUAGGUAGCACAUCCCCUUCCUUGGCUGAGACUUCCAGUCAGGCUUCGAUCCUUUUGAUGUCUUGAAUACAUUCAAGACACCUGAAUCAGAGACAUAAACUAAGCCACACUGAUUCUCUCAACUGUGGAAAUGCUAAGAAAAUGAUUGUGAUUUUUAAGCUUCUGAAUCUUGGGAUUUUGCUAAUCGGCAUCAUAUAUACAAGAAAUUCUUAACUGCCAAGGAGUGGAUCUAAAAUAAAUCCCUGAUGAACUCAGUAUAGUCUUAUUCCAAAGAACACACAACAUCUCAUGGACAUAUAGCUGUUGUUUGGCUAUAGCUUUAAAUCUCAGUUUUAAUCUCAUGUUUCCUUUUUAGCCUUCUCGGUCUUUUUUUUUCUUCAAUGUGUUAGUUUAUUCUUGGAGUAAACACUUCUUUUUUUUAAAGAUUUAUUUAUUUUUUAUUAUUAUAUGUAAGUACACUGUAGCUGUCUUCAGACACACCAGAAGAGGGCAUCAGAUCUCAUUACAGAUGGUUGUGAGCCACCAUGUGGUUGCUGGGAAUUGAACUCAGGACCUUUGGAAGAGCAGUCAGUGUUCUUGCCCGCUGAGCCAUCUCUCCAGCCUCGCCUUCUUUAUCUUAAUUUGGGUUUCUAUUGCUAUGAAGAGACACCAUGAUUAGAGCAACUCUUAUAAAGGACAACACUUAACUAGAGCUUGCUUUCAGUUCAGUCCAUUAUUGUCAUGGCAGGAAACAUGGCAACAUGCAGGCAGACAUGUUUGUAGAGACAGCAGAGAGCUCUACACCCGGAUCAGCAGGCAGUGGGUAGUGAACGGCACACUAGACCCGGCUUGAGCAUUUGAGACCCCUUAGUGAUGCACUUCCUCCAACAAAGCCACACCCACUCCAACAAGGCCACACCUCCUAGUAGUGCCACUCCCUGUGAGUCUAUUGGGGCCAUUUCCAAUCAAACCACCACAGUGGGAAAGAAGAUAUUCUUCUGAGUGUGGUUUCAUGUUGUAGCAUGUUACAAAGUGAAUAUUCAGUAAGUCUUUUCCUUAAGCUGUUUACCAAGAGACCAAAAUCUGUAAUAUUAGAAUUUUGGAAUGAGGAAGAAUCAUGCCUGAGGUAGAAUGUAUAUAAGAUUGUGUCUAAAAUCUCUUUUAGGUUUUUCAUCCAUACAGAUUUACGUAGCACAAUGUAACAAGUGGACAUAUGAGAACCAUGAACCAGCCUUUUCCGGCCUCUUCUCCAGGUUUUGGUUUGCUGUCUACUGCCCAGGUGCCGGCUGUCAAACCUUGGACUCUUUCUUGGUCUUGCAGAAGCACUCGGUGUGGUUUUAUGGCAGCUGAGGAAAAGCUGUGAGUUCUGUGGCAUUUUGGAGUGCAGAGCUUGCUGGAAGGAGAUUUGUGACAGGGUAGGAGACAGGGUAUGUAGGGCAACCUGUCUUCAACAGGAAUAGACUGCCCAGCUUGACCUACAGCAUAGGAUGGCUCAGGGCAAGGGCCUUGACAUUUAGAUCUUGUUCUCUUCAGUUUGGUGCCAUCAUCUCUACCAGGUGUCUUGGUGGUCUUCAGGAAAAAAAACCAAAAACCAAAAACAAACAAACAAACAAACAAAUAAACAAAACCCUGACACAUCAUCAAGGCUACUGCCCUGCCUCACUGGAUGGUCUGCCUCAUUCACCUCAUUUCACUCUUCCCAUCUGGCCCUGGGACAGGACAUUAUCAGCCACAGAACCCCUGAAGUGAGCCCAGCUUAUUCUCCCCAGCACUGGGUUCACCACCUGCAGACUCUCUUCCCUGAUGCUGGCUUGCCCCAGGAACCACCAGCAUGCAUUUCAGCCUGCAAGUAUCACAUUGCCAGGAAGCUUUCUUUACUCCAGGCUUGACAGAUGCUCUGCAGUGUGUCUUCUGUCUGUCCUACCCUUGAUGCUGCUUCUCCUGUCCCCAGCUCCAAGAUAGGAGCGCUUCAAGGGCAAAGUUGUCUUUUUCAUCUUUAUAGCUUUUGUAACAAUCCUACAUUUUUCUUGUUCAUUUUGCAAGGUACAAUGAUAUAUAUAUA